UACUUGAGACAAGAAAAAGGAGCUAUGCGCUAACAUAACUCCAUGUAGAACCGUUAAAAAGACGGUGACUGAAAUGAAUAGUUUUUUUCA
rnacentral:sRNA from 1 species